rnacentral:lncRNA from 1 species
UAGAAUCUGUUCUGCAAUUUUGUAUUCUUCUUUCUUCUUCUUAAGCUGUCCCAUGUUGAUCUUUUAUCUUCUAUGUUGUUUUUGACACAGACUAGUCAAUGACCAUUAUCAGUAUUGAACUGGUUGAGUAUAGAAACAUCUUUGAUUGUUGGCUAAGAUGAAGUCAAUCUUGGUCUCUCCAUUGGGGCUGAUUCUUGUCUAUUUUCGUUUCUCUUUUUUAUUGAAGAAGGUGUUCAUUAUCUUAAGAUUGCCACAAAUCUUAAUUCUACUGGUCUUGUGCCUUCUUGUUCCAUAUACUAAUGCUAUACUUCCCCAUACAUUCUUCAUCUUGUUGUCUUCCAAGUUUUGCAUUGAAUUUGCCCAUGAUAAUUGUAAAGUGUUCCAG